rnacentral:rRNA from 1 species
CCUACGGGCGGCAGCAGUGGGGAAUAUUGCACAAUGGGCGCAAGCCGGAUGCAGCCAUGCCGCGUGUGUGAAGAAGGCCUUCGGGUUGUAAAGCACUUUCAGCGGGGAGGAAGGCGUUAAGGUUAAUAACCUUGGCGAUUGACGUUACCCGCAGAAGAAGCACCGGCUAACUCCGUGCCAGCAGCCGCGGUAAUACGGAGGGUGCAAGCGUUAAUCGGAAUUACUGGGCGUAAAGCGCACGCAGGCGGUCUGUCAAGUCGGAUGUGAGAUCCCCGGGCUCAACCUGGGAACUGCAUUCGAAACUGGCAGGCUAGAGUCUUGUAGAGGGGGGUAGAAUUCCAGGUGUAGCGGUGAAAUGCGUAGAGAUCUGGAGGAAUACCGGUGGCGAAGGCGGCCCCCUGGACAAAGACUGACGCUCAGGUGCGAAAGCGUGGGGAGCAAGCAGGAUUAGAUACCCCAGUAGUC